rnacentral:rRNA from 1 species
GAUGAACGCUCGCUGUGUGCCUAAUACAUGCAUGUUGAACGGGAUGUAGCAAUACAUUCAGUAGCGAAUGGGUGAGUAACACGUACCUAACCUACCUUUAAGACUGGGAUAACUAUUGGAAACAAUAGCUAAUACCGGAUAUAGUUAUUUAUCGCAUGAUGAGUAAUAGAAAGGAGCUUCACGGCUUCACUUAAAAAUGGGGGUGCGGAACAUUAGUUAGUUGGUAGGGUAAUGGCCUACCAAGACGAUGAUGUUUAGCCGGGCCGAGAGGCUGUACGGCCACACUGGGACUGAGAUACGGCCCAGACUCCUACGGGAGGCAGCAGUAAGGAAUUUUCCACAAUGAGCGAAAGCUUGAUGGAGCGACACAGCGUGCAGGAUGAAGUUCUUCGGAAUGUAAACUGCUGUUAUAAGGGAAGAAAAAAUAGAAUAGGAAAUGAUUUUAUCUUGACGGUACCUUAUUAGAAAGCGACGGCAAACUAUGUGCCAGCAGCUGCGGUAAUACAUAGGUCGCAAGCGUUAUCCGGAAUUAUUGGGCGUAAAGCGUCCGUAGGUUUUUUGCUAAGUCUGGAGUUAAAUGCUGAAGCUCAACUUCAGUCCGCUUUGGAUACUGGCAAAAUAGAAUUAUAAAGAGGUUAGCGGAAUUCCUAGUGAAGCGGUGGAAUGCGUAGAUAUUAGGAAGAACACCAAUAGGCGAAGGCAGCUAACUGGUUAUAUAUUGACACUAAGGGACGAAAGCGUGGGGAGCAAACAGG